CAUACAUUGUCAGGAAUAUCGCAGCAUCAGGGUAUUGCUUAACUUAGAAAUGAUUGAUCAACUGCAAGAAAGAUGAGUGGAAACUGUGACAUACUGUAUCCUGCAAUGGAGACCUGAUAAAACAGGAGCUGAUUUUUUAAGCCUAUUUAUGGGCCGAUUCUUAGUGCUAAACUUCUGAUUCAACUGGGGAAAUUGAAGGUCUUGAAUUAUAUUUAAAAACAGACUUGUGUUCUGAUGUGUGCAAUGGCUGCUUGAGGAGAGUGGAUGUGAUUUAUGCACUUUUAAAAAUCAAUAUUAGUGAUGAUUUUUUUUUUGUUUGUGCUGUAUGAUAAACUUUUCUUAUGCAAAUUAAAAAUAAUUCAUCUAAUAUGGCACAUCUUUAAAUUUAUUCAGAACCUAGGCUGUUUCACCUGUUCUUAAUGUUAACAAUCUUUUAUCUGAAACACAUAUUCCUGGAUACCUCUUAAGUACUUUAUGAAGCAUUUACAAAAUGUUUGCAAAUCAGUGAAGUUAGUAACAGAUUAAUGUUUAAACAUGUUGAAUACUGUAGAGAAUAAUGUCUCAAACUGUGUUUAUAAGGUUCUCUUCUAAAUGUGAGCCUCUUUGGCUAAUGAUGCUUGAAUACAAUUACCUUUUGCUUUUCUUUUUUCUUUUUUUCUGGUUUACGAUUGCCAUUGGUUUGCAUUCAGUCUUUCAUGGCUGAAAAAAAUAGAUACAGUAUUGCUAAAUGUCAAGUUAAUGUGCUUAGGUAAUUGAUCUGAAUUGCAGUUUGGCAUGCUGGGUCUCUAUUUCUAAGAGCAACCAAUGCUAAUAGUGAUGUCUAAGAAAAAUGUUAUCUGCCUUAAAAAUUGUAUUUCUUCCAAGGACUGGACAGCAGGCUGACAGCAGGGGAAAAUACUAGCUACAGAAGUAGAUAAGUUUUCCAGAAGAGUGAGUGCUCAUGAGAGGCUUUUGUUUUUCUUCUGGACACAAAAGGAAAUGAGUCAGGAUGUCUUGCAUGUAUAGUGUUAUGGGCAAGUGAGAGAGGAAGAAGUUUUCAGCAAGUGACUCCAUAAUUCCAGAGAGACAGAAAUUCUACUAUUAAAUAAAUGUUCUGAUAGCCUGUCUACAAAUUUAAGAGCUUGCCCAAACUUUUCUUUGGGUUCUGCAGAACAUGUGUGAUAUUCUGAGGAAAGGAUUAAAUUCAGUGUAAUGUGCAAGUGCCUUUCAAAGAAGACAAACAUAUUUGGAGUCCAGGUUGCCAGUGCAAACUGAUCUGAUGCUGCUGUAUUCAUGCUUGCAUGUUUUCCAGCUGACAAGGACUUCAUUUCAGAAAUGGAAAAUCCUGAAUUGUCUGUGAGCAGCUGCAGCACUCACGAUGAUGGAAGUCUUUGCAGCUACAAACGACACCCAUCAGUAUGCCAGGAGGGGCUUCUAGAAGAUCAGCUUAGAAGGAAAUUAAAAUUCUUCUUCAUGAACCCAUGUGAGAAAUUCUGGGCCCGGGGCAGGAAACCUUGGAAACUUGGGAUUCAGCUACUCAAAAUAGCAAUGGUUACUGUUCAGCUGGUGAUUUUUGGAUUAACCAAUCAAAUGGUGGUUGCCUUCAAAGAAGAGAACACUGUCGCAUUCAAACAUCUCUUCCUGAAAGGAUACAUGGACAGAAUGGAUGAUACCUAUGCUGUAUACACACAAACAGAUGUUUAUGACCAGAUAUUCUUUGCAAUAAACCAGUACUUACAGCUGCCCAACAUCUCUGUUGGAAACCAUGCUUAUGAGAAGAGGGGAGCAGAAGAAACAGCUCUGGCUGUGUGUCAGCAGUUCUACAAGCGAGGAACCAUCUGUCCUGGAAAUGACACCUUUGAUAUAGACCCAGAGAUUGUGACUGACUGCUUGUAUAUUGAGCCAAUGAUGCCAUCAGACAACACAACGGUGGGAAAGCACAAUUUGAAUUUCACUCUGGAUUUCCACAGACUGGUGGCGGUGCAGCUCAUGUUCAAUCUGAAGGCAAUCAACCUCCAGACCGUUCGUCACCAUGAGCUCCCCGACUGUUACGAUUUCACUCUGACGAUAGUGUUUGAUAAUAAAGCACAUAGUGGAAGAAUUAAAAUAAGUCUAGACAACAAUAUAGCGAUCAGGGAAUGUAAAGACUGGCAUGUUUCUGGAUCAAUACAGAAGAACACUCAUUACAUGAUGAUCUUUGAUGCUUUUGUUAUAUUGACUUGUGUGGCCUCAUUGAUCCUUUGCACACGAUCAGUGGUUAAAGGAAUUUGGCUCCAAAGGGAAUUUGUAAGGUUUUUCCUAUAUUAUUAUAAGAAAGAAGUAUCUUUCAGUGAUCAAAUGGAAUUUGUCAACGGAUGGUACAUCCUGAUUGUCAUCAGCGAUGUCUUAACUAUUGUGGGAUCAACUCUGAAGAUGGAGAUACAAGCCAAGAGUCUGACAAGUUAUGAUGUCUGUAGCAUACUCCUAGGGACAUCCACUAUGCUUGUGUGGCUUGGAGUCAUUCGCUACCUAGGUUUCUUUCAGAAGUAUAAUGUAAGGAUCUCCUGGAAUCUUCGUGCUGUUGCUUCUCAUCCUAACACUGCGAGCAGCAUUACCCAAUGUGAUGAGGUUCUGCUGUUGCGCUGCUAUGAUCUACCUGGGCUAUUGUUUCUGUGGAUGGAUUGUACUGGGACCAUACCAUGUGAAGUUUCGCUCUCUGAACAUGGUUUCCGAAUGCCUUUUUUCAUUGAUCAAUGGAGAUGACAUGUUUGCCACCUUUGCAAAAAUGCAGCAGAAAAGUUACCUGGUUUGGUUAUUCAGUAGAAUCUACCUCUACUCCUUCAUCAGUCUGUUCAUCUAUAUGGUGCUGAGUCUCUUCAUUGCACUCAUUACAGAUACAUAUGAGACUGUCAAGCACUACCAGCAAGAUGGCUUUCCAGAGACAGAACUUCAGAAAUUUAUAUCACAGUGCAAAGACUUGCCAAACUCCGGCAGGUACAGGUUAGAGGAAGAAAGCUCAGCAUCUCUCUUCUGUUGUUGUAAUGGUUGUAGUGAACAUACUUAAUGCAUUGUGGAAGUGUAUCAUGGAGGCUUUAAAGCAGCACACAUUGCAAGAACGGGACAGUACAGCUGGUGGAAAACCUUAUACCUAAAGCCUGAAUUUGCUUUUCUUGAAAAACAGUGUAAGCCUGUGGCAAGAAGCUUAUCAUGAAUUUACAGUCUUUCUGAUUAGGUGCUCUCACUGCUAGUUCAGGGGCUUUGGGGGUUUGUUUUUUUAUUAGCUUUGUUCUAUUUUUUUUCCUCAGUUAAAUUGUGCUAGAAUUAAAAGGGCAAUUAAAACCUGUCUGUGUUCAGAGACUUGGCUAGACUAUGCAAGUAGACUAGAAAUGCAGUCACUUUCACCUAUAAGUAGAAAUAAUGCUGGACAAUGGCAACUUUGAACACCAACGUAACCCUCAGUACUGCAGGCACUAUUGAGCUCUGCUGACCCAUGACUGAGUGAACGAAAGCUCCCUCUAGAGCACUCCACAUUUUUUUGUUAGUUUAUUUUUACUAUGAGUGCAGACAAAAAUUAUUAAAUUGGGUGUAAUUUGUUUCUGGAGACAUCACAAUGAGUUGAUGCACAAGCCAUUCAAAUGUGGCUGAAAGCAUAAACUAAGUAUUUCUGUCAACGUAAGUACCACUUGAUGUAAGUGGAAGUCUUUUCUCAGAAAGGCCAGGGAUAUGCCAGGCCAGAACUGAAGUUUGACGGACGAGCUAAGUGGAGAAAUGCAGGUGUUCUCCUAUAUCCAGCGCUGAAUAGGAUCAGUUACAGUUUUCAGCCUCACAGUUUGCUGACUUUAUGUUUUUAAAGGAGAAGUCAGACAAAAGCACUUUCAAAAUAUCUAUUUUUUUAUUUGAAUUCCUCCUCUGUAUGUGUCUGUAAACCUGUGUUGACAGUCUGAUUGCGGGGUGACAAUAAAUACAUCUGUGGCAGAUGUAUUGUUAACCCCCUCUUCCCCCCUUCCCCUGUCAGUGCCUCCCUCUCCCCCCUUCCCACUAAGGACAGGCAAUCAGGAGGGAAAGAAGGAUGGAGAGAAGAGAGUUGGAAAAAUUAACAAUGUUUUACUAAUGCUACUAAUAAGAAUAGAGAAAAUAAUACAAAAUAUACAAAACCAAUAAUGAAAGUCCCAGCAACUGCAGAGCCGGCACCCAAAGUCCUGGACUGGACUCUGCAGCCAACCAGAGCUGCAUUCGGUCUCUCACUAGGCCUCAGUUCGCAGGGAUGACUAGCAAGGUCCUCUCCUAAUGUCGGCCAUAAGGAAGAGGGAUGAGAUCCUCGUGAUCUCCCACUUUUAUAUGAAGUAUUCAAGUGAAUGGGAUGUUAUACACAACUGGUCAGUUUCUUGGUCACCUGUUUCUCGUUGCCCCUUUCACAAGAGGUGCAUCCAUGCUUAUUGAUAACUUCGCAUUCCAUUGCUAGGUUUACCAAAACAUGUGUCUGGUUCUCCAGGAAAAUGCAGCUAAUAUGAAAGCUUUAGCUGACAGGCAAAUUCACUAAAAGAGAAACUUGUUUUUAACAAAACCAGGACAACCUAAAAUCUAAACAAAGUUAAACACACGUAAGAUAUGUCUCUGAGAGUCAUAUCUCUCCAUGCUUUAUGAACUGGAUGUUUCCUACCAGCCUAAUAACCAGGUAGUGCCCGUGCCUGUUUGAAACAUUAGAUAUUAUAAAAGUUCGAUUUUUUUCAACUUAGUUUAUAUACUUUGUUGGUUGUGAUACUGUUUAAUGGAUGUCUUAGUUUCUAUAGCCUAUUCACUCUGAGACUGGAAUAGAAAACUGAAGGGAAGCAUAUUUUAGAUAAUUUGCAUUUGUGAGCAGCAUUCCUGUAGCUGUGCAUGACAAUGCAUAAUGCUGUGCACCAAGGUGGAGGACACUAAACAUGUUCUGUCUGAAUGUUUACACUUUGUAAAUGUGCUACAAUAAACACUUCCAGCUGCAGUAA